UGGACAUGAAAAAAGAGCUGAUAAACCUUACUCGGUCAAAAAAGGAGAUUUGUGUUUAAUCUAGUGGAACCAUUAUGUUGUUGUGUUUGAAGGAUCGGACUCGCACUUCUGUGGAACUGUUCCAUUGAUACAUACAUAUUGAACAAAGGAACGUGCUGUGUGAAGAGAGAGACUCUUGCCAAAACUUCAACAUCAAACAACGGACACUGGGACAAUAUAUUUGAACACCAAAACGUUGGGGAUGAUGAGGGAUGGAAUAUGGAAAAUGUAUGUCUAUUUUGUGAUGUCAUUAAAAUGAUCAGAAAGACUGUAUAACAAGAUAACUGUAACUCUGAAAGUGUAGACGUCCUAGUUAUCAGGUUUGCAUCUAAAUGUUGUAUAAAACAAAUUAUUAAGUAAAAGUAUACUUUUGAAAAGAUAGAAAUGUGAGUUUCGCCUUCUAAAUGAGAUAAUGGCUUUUCAUAUAAACCUGGGCCCAGUCAGUAAACACACCAUGUGAUGUGAGCACAGACAUUGUGUCAACAGGACCGACGGCUCUCCAAGGCCAGAGUGCUUAAAAGGACUCGCAGAGAAUUUAAAUUCAGACCAGAGAACGUGAGGACAUGGUCCACACGUUGAAAUGGUUUAAACUACGAGACCAAAAAAUGGUAAGACCCUCUGAAACUCUCGACGAGUGAAGAAGGUGAAGACUAGACCAAACAUUCACAGUCUACAGCUGGGUAUGUGAGGUAGUCUAGGACAAUUGACCAAAGACGGGAGGGAAGGACAGAUCCCUCUCACACUUGGAGGUAUCCAUUCUAAGAACACUCCAAGACAAAGAAGCCUACAACUAAGAAGGACAUUGUGACCUCCGGUAGACAACCAGUCUUACAUCGAACUACUCCCCAUAGACGGACCAAGUGGUUUCAACAAAGAGACGACAAAGACAUCUACGUGUAAAUAUAUGUUGCAUUUCUAAUCCAAAUGAGCGGUUGUUAGGGUGCUAAAUAUUCUGGAUAUGGUGAGCGUAGUUUCUAAAUGUAUGUACGAUAAGUUGACUCUCUCUGUCUUUAUCUUUCCCCACCCCCUUUCCAUUGUGUAACCAAAUGGUCAUGUUUUUAUUAGUCCACUAGGAACUGUUUUCAUUGCAUUAUGUUAGUAAUCAAUAACCUAUACCGUGUGUGUGUUUAUGUAUUUCUGUGAUUAUUUAGUUAGUGAAUAAAUAAUUAACCUCUCUGGGA